UUAUCGCUCGGUUCCCUCAUUUCUCCUCUUACUUGUUCAGGAGAUGUUACCGAAUAUUUCGAUCUUUGUGGUGUAAAGCAGGACCAAAUCUCUAAAGGAAGACCACCAUUAAUGGACAAUCAGCAGCAGCAGCAGCAAGCCUGUAUACUAUCUUCAGAUUGCAGAAUCCAGAUUUUCUUAUGAAACCUAGGGUUAGUUUCAUGUUCACUAGUAAUAAUCUUCUUCUGAUUCUUCAUUCGUUGUUAGUUAUUUGAUAAAUUCAUGUGGAUUAUCUGAAAAUGUGGCUCUCACGGUUUCUAAGCAAAUUAGUUUUAACAUUAUUUCAAAACUAUGGUUUCACUAAGCCCCACAUUUCAAAAUUCAUCUCCAAGCGAUCAGGGUUCUUGUUAUCAUCUAAAGGACUACAUGGAACAGAACUAGCAAACUAUGUCUUUAGGAACUCAACCAUCCUCAAAUAUAGCCUAAAAUCCCAAUUAGUUCCUUCAUUUGAUAUCCUUAAGACCAUUGUCCAUACUGAUACAAACAUCAUUAAAAUGAUCAAACGAUUCACUUGCAUUCUCAACGUAAAUGAUGUGUUGACAAUCCUAGACCAUAUACAAGUGAUGCUGAUAAAUUUAAAAAGAUUGUGGAAAAGGUUAAAGGAAUGGGUUUUGAUCCUUUACUUAAAACAUUUCUUGUAGCUAUACGGGUAUUGACACAAAUGAGUGCAGCCACUUGGAAGUCAAAAAUGGAUGUUUACAAGAGAUGGGGUUGGUCCGAAGAUCAAAUUCAAACAGCAUUUAGGAAAAAUCCUUGUUCUAUGACAUAUUCUGAGAGCAGGAUUAUGGCAGUUAUGGGUGUUCUUGUGAAUGAAAUGGGUUAUUUCGUUGACUAUUGCGCAAAACCCAGUGAUUUUAAAUAGUAGCUUGGAGGAGAGGGUUAUCCUAGGGGCUCUAUUAUCAGAAUUUUAGUCUCAAAGGUUAUUGAAGAAUCAAUUUCUCUGAGGUUACUUUCAAGAAUGACAGAUAACUCCUUCGCAAACAAAUUUGUGAAACCGUAUGAGCAAGAAGCUCCAGAGUUAAUAAAGGUAUUCCAAAUUUAGAUGAAUAACUGAGAGCUACGUCUGAAAUGAAGAAUUUGGAGAGUUUAUUACGCGCUACUGACAAUACUACUUGAGGACAGCUUGUGGACGAUAAUACCAUGUUUCAUGCCUUGGUACCAUUGAUCCAUAUGAUUCUGAUUUCAUCAAAACCCUUGCUGGUGACCAGUAAGCAGAGAAAGCUAGUGGUUCAGUGUAUCUCAGAAUUUACCUUGUUUGCUUUUCACCUUUUCUCUCGCUCCCCUAUUUUCUUAAGUUGAAUUAUAUUUGAUUUGAAUCAUAUCAACUGCAAUUGGAAAUUCUGAAAGUAGGCUUCUGCAUUAUAUGAACUCCGUAUGAGACAAUUUUUGUAUUUUCCACAGCAUUUCCUAGUCCCACUGCUUCAAAAAUGUAAAAUGUCAUUUGUUUUGGUCAUUUAGUACUUUUUUGCAAUAACUCUUUAACAUUCAACUGUAGGUUUGCAUCAGUUGUACUUAGUUUGUAACAAUGAGUUUGCUCUGGGAUUUUUAAAUUACAUCACCUGAGCAUCACCGGUGGUUUCACCUGACUUACCUUAGUGUUUGUCAAUAAAAAAUUUCAGUGUGUUGGAAUAGGAAUUGUGAGAUGGGUCUGUGUGGGAAGUAGGCACAGGGAGGAAAUUCAGCUAUGGGCACAUAAUUGGAUGCCCACAGUGAGUAACACUCUGAAAACAGUUGAUGAAGUUUUUGACCCCCAGACAAGGGUGUGGAACUUCAGGUUUCCUGACCAGGUGUUCAACCAUCAGCGGGGGAAAGUAUUGUUUCAAUAGGUUUUAUAGAACUCUAAUACAAUGGCUGACAGGCUAGUGUGGUCUUUCACCAGCAAUGGUAUCCUCACCUUGAAGACACUGUAUGAUCAUAUGAUAUAUGAGAGUCACAAUCUAACAGUCCUGCGGCCUACCAAAACACUACUUGGACCCAAAUAUGGAAUCCAAGGUUUGCUUGUUUACUAUCUUUGUCGUUUACAUUUCGGGUGUUCAUGGUUUUAAUCUUGGCAAUUUCAGGCCUAAAGCUAAACCCAGAAAGGAACGUAAGUCCACAUCUAAAGACCGUCAAGAUUACGUAAGGCCGUAUGCAAGAGGCGCCAUUAGUGUCUAUAACGAAAGUCGAUUCUGUUGCCUUGGCCUAAAAUCAUAGGGUACAAAAUAUGAGCUGGUGGACCGGAGCCUGGUUACCUUACAAGUGUGUAUAUUAGGACAUGCUAUCUUCACCAUAUCGACUUCACGGCUAAAAAGAUCGAUAUUUCUGAUGCUCCAGAGGAGAUGUUUUUUUGCCGAACUGACAAUUACCAAUGAGGAGGUUCGUUCUGUCAAGUUUUGCAAAUGCAUGAGGCCAAAAGAAUCAAUUUCAGGUUUGCAUUUAACAUGUACAUGUGGUUUGUGUGGUUUCAUUGGUCUCUCACUGCUACAUUUAAGUGCAUUGUUUUGGUUAUUAUUUCGUGAUGUAUAAAACUGUAAUUCAUUGGCUUGUUGACGCAUGCGUAGGUGAUUUAAUUUAUGGA